GACGAACGCUGGCGGCGUGCUUAACACAUGCAAGUCGAACGGAAAGGCCCUGCUUUUGUGGGGUGCUCGAGUGGCGAACGGGUGAGUAACACGUGAGUAACCUGCCCUUGACUUUGGGAUAACUUCAGGAAACUGGGGCUAAUACCGGAUAGGAGCUCCUGCUGCAUGGUGGGGGUUGGAAAGUUUCGGCGGCUGGGGAUGGACUCGCGGCUUAUCAGCUUGUUGGUGGGGUAGUGGCUUACCAAGGCUUUGACGGGUAGCCGGCCUGAGAGGGUGACCGGCCACAUUGGGACUGAGAUACGGCCCAGACUCCUACGGGAGGCAGCAGUGGGGAAUAUUGCACAAUGGGCGGAAGCCUGAUGCAGCAACGCCGCGUGCGGGAUGACGGCCUUCGGGUUGUAAACCGCUUUCGCCUGUGACGAAGCGUGAGUGACGGUAAUGGGUAAAGAAGCACCGGCUAACUACGUGCCAGCAGCCGCGGUGAUACGUAGGGUGCGAGCGUUGUCCGGAUUUAUUGGGCGUAAAGGGCUCGUAGGUGGUUGAUCGCGUCGGAAGUGUAAUCUUGGGGCUUAACCCUGAGCGUGCUUUCGAUACGAGUUGACUUGAGGAAGGUAGGGGAGAAUGGAAUUCCUGGUGGAGCGGUGGAAUGCGCAGAUAUCAGGAGGAACACCAGUGGCGAAGGCGGUUCUCUGGGCCUUUCCUGACGCUGAGGAGCGAAAGCGUGGGGAGCGAACAGGCUUAGAUACCCUGGUAGUCCACGCUGUAAACGGUGGGUACUAGGUGUGGGGUCCAUUCCACGGGUUCCGUGCCGUAGCUAACGCUUUAAGUACCCCGCCUGGGGAGUACGGCCGCAAGGCUAAAACUCAAAGGAAUUGACGGGGCCCCGCACAAGCGGCGGAGCAUGCGGAUUAAUUCGAUGCAACGCGUAGAACCUUACCUGGGUUUGACAUGGAUCGGGAGUGCUCAGAGAUGGGUGUGCCUCUUUUGGGGUCGGUUCACAGGUGGUGCAUGGCUGUCGUCAGCUCGUGUCGUGAGAUGUUGGGUUAAGUCCCGCAACGAGCGCAACCCUUGUUCACUGUUGCCAGCACGUUAUGGUGGGGACUCAGUGGAGACCGCCGGGGUCAACUCGGAGGAAGGUGGGGAUGACGUCAAGUCAUCAUGCCCCUUAUGUCCAGGGCUUCACGCAUGCUACAAUGGCUGGUACAGAGAGUGGCGAGCCUGUGAGGGUGAGCGAAUCUCGGAAAGCCGGUCUCAGUUCGGAUUGGGGUCUGCAACUCGACCUCAUGAAGUCGGAGUCGCUAGUAAUCGCAGAUCAGCAACGCUGCGGUGAAUACGUUCCCGGGGCU
rnacentral:rRNA from 1 species